rnacentral:ncRNA from 1 species
GACAUUAAUUGACAUAGUUCGAUUUUUGUUGACCUAGAAAGGUACGAGCGUGCAGACUCAGGUAUAAGUCCUAAAACACAAGGCUACCUACCUUCUUUUCGUGAUCACACCUUUCGGUGAACGCCAGCCGUUAGCUACUGUGGUCUGUAAUUAAACUAAGUACCGAUGCUUUAUAAGGUCGUGUUACAGAUGUAAAAAGCGAUUAGAAGUUUGUCGAGGCACACUUUACUGAGAAGUCA